GCAGAUGCAGGACAUUCUGCUAAUGAACCCGGCAUAGCUGCAGAACUUGUGGCUGCAAAUGAGAAGCUCAAAAACAUUAUAAAGAAUGGAUCCUGAAAGGAGAGGUGCAUGAAGCUGUCACGGUGUAAGAUCACAAGCAGAUACUGCGACAGAUCCUUAGGGACAUGAGUUGCUAUCAACUGAGAAGUUUGAUGCAUGCUUUUAGCCGAACAGAAUAGAUCUUGAAAAUAAUGAGGAACUGUGUUAUUCCCUAGUAUGUCUUGCUUUCUUCAAUGGAAGGUUGGAUUUUCCUAGUUGGUGUUGAAUCUUCAAUCCGUCUACCUGCUUUGCUUACUCAAACUGUGAGAAUAAUAAUAAUGUAGAUGCUUGAAGGAUCUGUGAAAUUAUAUGUCAAGUAAUG
rnacentral:misc_RNA from 1 species